UGCGUAGGCGGACUAAUAAGUCAGUGGUGAAAUCUUUCGGCUCAACCGAGAAACUGCCAUUGAUACUGUUAGUCUUGAGUUCGGUUGAGGUAGGCGGAAUGUGUAAUGUAGCGGUGAAAUGCUUAGAUAUUACACAGAACACCAAUUGCGUGGGCAGCUUACUAGACCGACACUGACGCUGAGGCACGAAAGCGUGGGGAGCGAACAGGAUUAGAUACCCUGGUAGUCC
rnacentral:rRNA from 1 species